AUUGAACGCUGGCGGCAUGCCUUACACAUGCAAGUCGAACGGAUUUGAGGGGCUUGCUCCUCAAGUUAGUGGCGAACGGGUGAGUAAAGCAUCGGAACGUACCCAGUAGUGGGGGAUAACGUAGCGAAAGUUACGCUAAUACCGCAUACGACCUGAGGGUGAAAGCAGGGGAUCGCAAGACCUUGCGCUAUUGGAGCGGCCGAUGUCGGAUUAGCUAGUUGGUGGGGUAAAGGCUCACCAAGGCGACGAUCAGUAGCUGGUCUGAGAGGACGACCAGCCACACUGGAACUGGGACACGGUCCAGACUCCUACGGGAGGCAGCAGUGGGGAAUUUUGGACAAUGGGCGCAAGCCUGAUCCAGCCAUUCCGCGUGAGUGAAGAAGGCCUUCGGGUUGUAAAGCUCUUUCGCAAGGGAAGAAACGAUAGUGACGAAUAAUCACUGUUAAUGACGGUACCUUGAUAAGAAGCACCGGCUAACUACGUGCCAGCCGCCGCCGUAAUAC
rnacentral:rRNA from 1 species